UCCUCGAGCAUCAGUAAAUGUAAAUACUGCCCCCAUGCCAAUAAUUGACACUGCUAACAGUCAUGCAUUCCACAUUGGAAGCUUGGAAGGUCCAAGCUCUGCUCCUUGGACUUCACAAGGAUCCAUGGAUAGUGGAGAUGUUUUGGAGCAGCCAUCAACUCAUUGUUUGACUAGGAUUAAGUCAUUGCAGCAGUGUGCAUCUGCCAUCGCUGAAUUAGUGCAGGAAAAGGUGGAGGCAGGCAGGCAACUGGAAGCAUUCUCGAUACAACUUGUUAUUCUUGCAAUUUGGAAGCAAGCACUUCAUAUUUGCCACACUCAGGCUGCCUCAGCCAUUGAAGGAAGUCCAAGCCAAGAGAGCACAAGGUUGAGGAGAAGCAGCAGCAAGAAGCAUGGGUCUCCUGAUACAGAAGACUGUCUUGACGGUGGGCCAGAGAAUAUAUCCACUCAGAUUGAGAGGGAGUUUUUAAGGGAAGUUGAACAUGCUGAGGAAUUUGCCAAGGCUAUUGAACCUGGAAAUGUUGAGAUGCCUGAUGCCAUGGAAGCAAUAUUUCAAUCUGCCCUUGCUCUCGGAAGACAUGGAGGAGUUGAUGAGCUCAUGGGUGAAAUGGAAAGUGCAUCUUUCUUAUAUUCAAAAGCAGUACGCUUGUUAGUCUUCCUUCUAGUGGAAGCACCGUCCCUCAUUCUCAAUCCUCCACUCUCUCUCACAAACUCAGACCGGUAUAGACUUCGUACUUACAUUGAUAUCCUCAAUAAUAGGCAGGGCCAUUCACGAUCUCAAAGGAUGGCACUUCUCAAAUGCGAUGAACAAGCACAACAAUGCCCUCCCUAGCAUAGCCAAGAUUUUUACAGAGUUACCUAAUGACCUGUUUAUGUUUGCCAUGUAAAAUUAUUUGUUUGUACAGCUAUUCUUUUGAGAUUCUGGGAUUGGGAUAUUGCCAAAGCUCAACCUUUGUAUUUAGGGGGGUGUUGUAAUAUUCUCAUUUAUGCGAUUUAGGGAAUGAAGGGCUGACAAAAAAAGCAAGAAAAAAAAAGAUAGAAGAGGAAAGAAAGAUGCAUGAAAGAAAGAUCUGAAGAAUGAAGCAAUGUGCAUGUGUUUUGCAUCGGAUAUGCUUUUUGUUGUAUGCUAUGCUUCAAUGGUUAAAGGGAUCAAUACUCCCAUCUCAUCAAAGUCAUAACCUAUCAAGCUAGCAAUGAAGACGUCAACUGUCUGAAAGGUUAGGUGAAAAAGGAGACGAUGCAUACUUCUGCUUGACGCAAGGUGCAAAGACCUCAAACAACUGUUAGUCGUUGUUGGGAAACAUUGGAUUGUGGAAGUCUUCAGACGCGUGCGUAAUGUGCUCCUACUGCUACAAUUAUUAUUAUUAUUAUUAUUAUU
rnacentral:misc_RNA from 1 species